CAAAACUAUUUUCUCUUUUAAUCAUUGAUCUUCCUUUUUUUUUCUUUUCUGCUCCAGCUGCGUUUGUCCUUGGCUUUGAUAUUCUUUUCAAAAUUUCUCUAUUUUCCGGUUUGUAUGUGGCUUUGAUUCUCUUUUGUUUAAAGAUAAUUGAUUUAGAAUCUAAAUUAUGUGAUUUACAAUUUUCAUUUUGCCUCUGAUUUUAUAUUUUAUGCUUUAUUGUUUUUAGUUAAGUGUGUCUAAUUUUGAUAUUAAAUUUUCCCUCUUUCCCCGUUUUUCCUUUAUGGAUUCUGUCAUACAUGUGGUUAUUUUUAAAAAUGCCUCUUUAAAAAUUUUCAGCUUUAGUAGCAUGACUGCUCCCACAGCGGCUAUAGGAAAUUGCCACUCGGAGAAAAAUAAACUACCAAGGGAAGGGCUUUAAUGCAACCAAUGUGUUUGAUGAAGUUUCAAUGUAUUUGAUGAAAUUCUCCAAUGAAAGGAAGAUAGUUUCAACAAUUCGGUUGACCUCUUCUCUGCAAUCAAUCAAGCUUUUUACAUAUCAAUUGGCACUAAUUAGAUUAGUACAACUUGAUUUCUACUACUGAUGGCACUUUGAAUUCCCAUUUUGUUGAUUGGUAAGCUUCUCUGAGAUUUGUCAUUGUAUUCCCUCUAUGUAAUUUCAUUGUUUUUUAUUUUAUAUUCUCGGCUUUAUUUUAUAAUUUUCUUACUCAAUUUAGAUUUAGUUUCUUACCUAUGCAUUUUUUUUUAUCAAGAUGCGAAUCAGAUUGUUUGCAUGCUUAUAGGGAGAGAAAGUAUGAACUCGAAGGAGUUUCUAGAGUAGCAGAAAAAAAACUGGUCAUAAUCGGAAAAAAGGGGUAGGGGAGGCAAUCGAAGAAAAUGACAUAAACAACUGUUGCCAAGGUGGUGUUGACUUGAUAGAUGAAAAUUAAUUAGGUAUGGACUAAUAUUAGACUUAUAUUGUGGGUUUUGUAUAUCUUUUUAAUUGUUAUAUUCCUAUAUGUACGCGCACACACACACCUAUAUCAGCAUGGCACGAGCGAGCGACUAUGUGAGUAAAGUAUUCUUUUAGAAAAUAUUUUACUAAAAGAUAUCACUUGCCAAGUCAUUUUUCCUAUAAUUGGUUGAACAGACCAAAUGAAACACAAACUUUGUUGAUAAUCACAAAAAGUAAACAAUGGAGAGUAAGCGAUACAGAAGAGGAGUGGAGUGAAAAUAAUAUUUAAAAUAUAUACAACUACAAGCUAGAAAAUAGUUGCACCAGUGAAAAUAAAUUCACCACCAGAGUGGAAGUUUCAUUGUACUCAUACUUACAAUGUGCUUUAUGUUAAAGUCAACAUAGUAUAAUAGUUUUUCUCCAACCGGUUUGCAAUUAUUAUUGAAUUUCUCUCAUGAAUUUUAUAUGUUCUUCUUUUUUGCUUUGCUUUGCUAUGUUAUUUAGUUAAUUAAAUUGCUGAAUUUUUCUGGCUACGGAUUUAUGGAACCUCACUUACUAGUGUAUAUUUAUAUAUAGGUAAUGCAGAAUAGGGGUGAAAAGGAUGUAAAAGAAGUUUUGAGUUUAAAUAGCCUAAGGAGUAUAUGAUGAGUCCAACUAUGGAGAGUAAGUCGCACAGUUAUCACAGCUUCUGCAUCUAAUAAAAGCUCUAAUUGUUAGAUUAUUGCAUCUAUUACAUGUAAACUAUUUAAAGUUCUAUAAAACAUUUUGAAUUUUGUUAAACUCUUCCCGACUUCCACUAAGAUAUUUCCAAGGGAAAAUGGCAAAAGGUCCAUAUUUUAGAUAAAAUAUUUUUUGUGCGCCUUUAUAUGAGAAACUUUAAGAAUUUCCUAGAGAUCAAAGGUUAUCCAGCAGGUGAUGGCUUCAAGGGAAAAUGGCAAAAGCUCCAUAUUUUAGAUAAAAUAUUUUUUGUGCACCUUUAUAUGAGAAACUUUAAGAAUUUCCCAGAGAUCAUAGGCUAUCCAGCAGGUGACGGCUUCAGGUGACAUCUUUUAGGUGUUGAUUUUAAUUGGUAUAGUUUAUGUUGUCCUUGAUUGAAUCAUAGUAAAUUAAAAUUAUCUCAAUUUAUUGUUAAUACCUCUUGGAGCUGAUAAAUAUACUUGAUAAAUUGAUGGUGUUGUUCUUAAAGUGCUCAAGUGAAAGGAUAAGUAGACCUCUUAACUCACUUAUUUAAAUUGCAAAGGCUUGCUUGUUAGGUGUUGUCUUCUGGGCUGAAGCCUAUUCCAGCAUAAAUUGAGCCUCUGGUCCUAAAACAUCUAAUAGUAUCUAAGGAUAAGUUAUAUAGAUGAAUAUUCGAUUUUGAAUUUUUAGUCCGAGAAACUCUUAAAUCGUUUUAGUGGAUAUGAAAGAAAAAAAAAGAAUGUAGAAACAGAAAAAUGUAAUCUUCUUCCCAUGAUAAGGAAGAUCUCAAUUAUUUUGCAUUUAUUUGAAUAUUCCAAAUAUUUGCCCGACUUUCUUCUUUCCUUUUCCAAAGGUAAAUAUAAUGUUAAUCAUACAGCAAAUAUAGUGUGGCAUAUUUAGUUGAAUACUUUUAUUAACUAUACCAAGGAUCUCUUAUGCAUAGCUACUGUAUUUUAGUGUCAGUCAGACAUUAUUUAAAUUGCGGUGUUUAGUUCUAUCUGCUAUUAAAUCUUAAGUAUGACAUUGUACUUAUUUAAGUGUAAUUAUCUUCCUACUUUGUACGUGCAGCCAAGUUUCAAGUUGGUAUCAUACAUAUAUUCCUUCAACCUGAUAAUAUCUAUUGUUAGCCCUUGGACAAAAGAGACCUCCUGAAUGCUUAUGCUCAGCUUUAGUAUAUGCAGUGGCGGAUCUACUCUUUGAGUUAUGGGUGCUUGAGCACCCAUUACUUUUAGAGCCAAAUACUAUUACUUAUAUAAAAAACUAGUAAAUUCAUAUAAAUAUAUUAACCGAGCACUCAUUAUCAGUAGCAAUUUUUCAGAUUAAAAAUAAUUGAGCACCCACGAUUUGAAAAUUCUGGAUCCGCCCUUGAGUAUAUGGAUUUGUGUUAAUCAAUUUCUUUUUUAAUUUGUUUCAGGCAUUAUUAGGUAUCAUCCAUGGAUUCAGUUGGUGUCAUAUAUAUAGUGAAACACCUAAACCAUCAUAUAAAUUGUAUAGGGUAUUGCUCAAAGUUAGUGGCGAGGCUCGUGCAGAAGAUCACGCACAAAAUAUUGACCCCAAUGUGAGAAGAGGAAUUGCUGGUAGAUGAAUGGCAUUUUAAAAAAAUUAUCUGCAUGUCCACCGUAUCCUUCCCGAGAUUAAACUUCUUAGGCUUAUUCAUAGUUCAGACAUAUUUGGUAUUCUGUUGCUAAGAAAAUAGCUUCUCGAAACAGCCUUAUAGCUUAAGGAAAGAACUUUAUCAGAAUAAAUCUAGC
rnacentral:lncRNA from 1 species